GUGAGGUUAAACUUUUGCUCCACACAGCGGAAAACAGCUGUUGUUUAGAUUCAGGAAAAUAAAAGGAAGAAAGUCACACAUGUUUGGAACAACAUGUGGGAUGCCAGGUCAGAAAAGAAGGAUGUCAUCUGUUGAACCUGAAAUUAAGAAGACAAGGAUGGACCAAAACCUUGUGGCCUCAGAUAAACCUAAAAGAGGAAGACCUCCAAAAAGCAGAGGUUUGGAAACGUCGCAUUCGAGGGAAGAGAACGGAAAGUGUGUUCGCCGGUCCUCUCGGCUAAAAACCACACAAAAGAAGGGUGCAAGAGGAAGACUGCGGAAAGCAUCGAGCGCACCAGAUGUGGUACAACCGAAUGAACGAGGUUCCAAGAUCUUCGAGAAACCUGGAGUUAAACCGUGUCAGAAUUUGGCUGUGCUUAAAAAAGGAACCAAGAAAUAUGCCCCGAGAGUGAAGAAAGACAAGCCUUCUGUCUCCGAAACCAUCGAAACUGUGACAGCAGCCUUGUUUCCCGUGCAAAUCGAACACAACUAUGGGCGAUUUCUUGACUUGCAAAGUAAGGAGAUAACGUUACCCCAACCUGAGAAAAACCAGGUGGCCAAUAUAGGUGAUUUACAACCAGAAGUUCCUGACAGUUGCCUAAGAGUGAGCAAAGGAUCAGUUGAAGAGCAUAACGAGCUGUCAACAGUCCCUAUUGAAAAAAUUACGGUGAGUUUGGAUGCAAAAGUAGAUGUAAUGACAAAGUCACCUCCACCACUUGAAGCUCUUUUCAAAGUCAUCCAAGAGACCGGCAUUACGAAACACGCAUUCACUAGUAAAGACAUCUCCGAUAUGGAUGAGCUAGAGGUUGUAAACACAUGUUCCCUUCAGGACAAUGUACAAAGCACCGAAAUAUCUGAUGUGGCGAAAGUGAUUCUCCAAGACUCUGAAGCAUUUCUUGAUGAUGAUAUUGAGAUUGAACAUUGUGUUGUUGAGAUUGAAACCUAUGAGGAUUUGGAAAGCGACUCCAUCAAGGACCAGCAAUCAGCAUCAAACGCUGAGGAUGAAACGGCAAAUAAAGAAAAAAAUGAAACUAUGGUAAGUAAGGAGGUUACCUCUUCACCCCAGGAAAGUGCGACAGACUCCUCAGAAGGUCCUCCGAAAAAGCAAGCGAUGAACCCGCAGGCUCGGACGAAGGCCCGUAUUGCUGCCCUGGCCCAGGAGAGGGCGGCUGCCGCCAAGAGACCCCCACCCCGACAGCUCAACCUUCUAGCUCUCUGCGAAGAAAUCGCUGACGAUAUCGCCUCCGAUGCCCCUGCGGGUUCAGAUGAGAAAGAAAGUGAGCAACAAAAGGAGGGGAGUGAGACUAUGGAGGUAAGUGAAACCGAAAGUGAAACAAAAGAAGUGAUGUCACCAACUGUCUCCGACAAAAUUGCACCCCCCGAGACCUCUGAGCCCCAUCCGCAAGGUAGCACGCCCAGGAAGCGCUUUUUCCUCAGCCAAGUGUCACUGCCUAUCAAGUCCCAGGAGAAGAAAUUAACCCGGUAUCAGAGGCUGAGGCAGGUGGAAAUUCAGAGAGACAAACUUACCUGGACCCGUGUUAAGAAACUGAAGUCUGAUCAGGCGAGCCAAGCUGCCUCCCCCAAGGAGACCGAAAUUGUCUUGGAUUCACCAAGCCAGUCCGCCACCCCUGCUCAGCCUCCUGUCCCAGAGAGCGUGCCCAAAGUGGGCUCAAACGAACCCAGGCGGGCACUGCCUGCACGGGCACCACCCAUGCCUAAUGGAAUCACCAGCUCAAAACCCAAACCUGUGGUGGAGUAUAAACCCUACAUUCCCAGACCCAAGUAUUCACCAGACGAUUUUGAGCUCGAGGAAGAGAUGACUGAACCAGCAGCUCCCAAAAAUGAGAUCAAACCAGAGCAGACAUCUUCAUCAGCCAAAAUGCAGCCUAAAGCACCAGUGGAGAAGAAACCAUGUGCUCCCACUACUGCAGAUACUAAACAGCAACCCUCUUCCCCACAUAAACUUGCCCAAAAGACGCAAACAGAAAACAGCAACAGUGGAAGUUCUGGUGUUGAACCUGCAGCAGAACAGAAGAAAGAUGGCAAAAAUGGUUCAAAACCUGAAAGUACAGCAUCACAAACAAGCAAUGAUGCUGGUCAGAAGGCGUUUGGUGCGAUGACGUGUAAUGUGUGUGGGAUGCUGUACUCUCCUACCAGCCCAGAGGAUGAAUCUCAACACCUCCUCUUCCACAACCAGUUCAUCAGUGCUGUCAAAUACGUGGCCAUGUGUUACAGUGAUUUUACCCUGAUUAAGGGUGUUUUUCGGCACAACUUGAAUUGGCUUGUGGAUGGAGGUGCACCUGAUCAAGACCCUGUCAUGGCCAGCCAAAUCUCCAGACCUGAACCCCAUUGAAAACCUCUGGAAUGUGAUCAAGAGGAAGAUGGAUGGCCAAAAGCCAACAAACAAAGCCGGGCUGCUUGAAUUUUUGCACUAGGAGUGGCAUAAAGUCACCCAACAGAAAUAUGAAAGACUGGUAGAGAGCAUGCCAAGAUGCAUGAAAGCUGUGAUUGAAAAUCAGGGUUAUUCCACCAAAUAUUGAUUUCUGAACUCUUCCCAAGUUAAAACAUUAGUAUUGUGUUUUUUAAAAAUGAAUAUGAACUUGUUUUCUUUGCAUUAUUCGAGGUCUGAAAACACUGCAUCUUUUUUUUAUUCUGACCAGUUUUCAUUUUCUGCAAAUAAAUGCUCUAAAUGACAAUAUUUUUAUUUGGAAUUUGGGAGAAAUGUUGUCAGUACUUUAAAUAAUAAAACAAAAAUUUUAAUUUUACUCAAACACAUACCUAUAAAUAGUAAAUCCAGAGAAACUGAUACAUUUGCAGUGGUCUCAAUUUUUUCCAGAGCUGUAUAUUUUUUUUAUUGAAGCAAAAAAGUUAUCUAACACCUAUAUCACCCAUGUGAAAAACUAACUGCCCCCUUAAACUUAAUAGCUGGUUGUGCCGCCUUUAGCAGCAACAACUGCAACCAAACGCUUCUGAUAACUGGAGAUCAGUCUUUCACAACGCUGUGGUGGAAUUUUUGCCCACUAUUCUUUGCAGAACUGCUUUAGUUCAGCCACAUUGGAGGGUUUAAGGUCCUGCCACAGCAUCUCAAUCGGUUUCAAGUCAGGACUUUGACUUGGCCACUCUAAACUUUAAUUUUGCUUCUUUUGAGCCAUUUAGAGGUAGACUUACUCCUUUGCUUUGGAUCACUCUCUUGCUGCAUAAUCCAGUUGCACUUGAACUUCAAAUCACGGACUGAUGACCGGACGUUCUCUUUUAGGACUUUCUGGUAGAGAGCAGAAUUCAUGUUUCCCUCAAUUACUGCAAGUCGCUCUGAAGCAGCAAAGCAUCCCCACACCAUCACAUCACCACCACCAUUCUUGACCGUAGGUAUGAUGUUCUUUUUGUGGAAUUCUGUGUUUGAUUCACGCCAGAUGUAACAGGACCCCUGUCUUCCAAACAGUUCCACUUUCGACUCAUCAGUCCACAGAACAUUCUCCCCAAAGGUUUGAGGAUCAUCAAGGUGUGUUUUGGCAAAAUUCAGACGAGCCUUAAUGUUCGUCUGGGUUAGCGGUGGUUUUUGCCUUGCCACUCUUCCAUGGAUGUCAUUUUUGGCCAGUGUCUUUCUGAUAGUGGAGUCAUGAACAGUAACCUUUAUUGAUUUCAGAAAGGCCUGCAGUUCCUUGGAUGUUGUCCUUUUUUGUGACUUCCUGGAUGAGUCGUCGCUGUGCUCUUGGAGGAAUUUUGGAAGGUCGACCACUUCUGGGAAUGUUCACUACUGUGCCAAGUUUUCUCCAUUUGGAGAUAAUGGCUCUCACUGUGGUUCUUUGGAGUCCCAGAGCCUUUGAAAUUGUUUUGUAACCCUUCCCAGACUGAUGUAUUUCUAUCACCUCUUUCCUCAUAAUUUCUGGAAUUUCUUUCGACCUUGGCAUAGUGUGCUGCUGGGUGAGACCUUUUAGCCAACUUCAUGCUGCUGAAAAAGUUCUAUUUAGGUGUUGAUUUGAUUUAACAGGGGUGGCAGUAAUCAGGUCUGACUGUGUCUAGUCCAGCUGAACCCCAUUACGAAUGCAGUUUCAUAGAUUUGAGGAUUUAGUAACUAAGGGGGCAAAUACUUUUUCCACACAGGCCCAGUAGGUAUUGGAUAACCUUUUUGCUUCAAUAAAUAACAUUAUCAUUUAAAACUGUAUUUUGUGUUUACUCAGAUUGCUUUUGUUUUAUGUUAGAUAUUGUUUGAAUUUUUGAAAUUAUUUAGUAUGAGAUAUGCACAAAAACAGAAGAAAUCAGGCAAAUACUUUUUCACAGCACUGUAACAAUUGGUGAUCAUUCUAUGAGUGAGUGAUUUGUGCAUGUAAGGAAUUUUAAUAUUCAGUUUUCAAUUUUUACGUUAUCUUAAAGGAAUAUUCUGUGUUCAAUAGAAAUUAAGCUCAAUCAACAGCAUUUUAAGCAUAAUGUUGAUUACCACAAAAAAUAAUUUUGAUUCGUACAUUCUUUUCUUUAAAAAAAAAAAAAAAAAGAAGCAAAAAUCGAGGUUACAGUAGUUUGUUUCCAUAAGUUGUGAAUUUAAUUUAUGCAAAAACCCAUAAUAUCAAAUAAAGUCAUGUUUCCAUCCCAUGUGUUCAAAAGAACAAAAUCGUCACUUCCGGAGACAGUGUUUAUAGAUUGGCCCCAUUCAUUUCCAUUAAAAGUGCCUCACUAUAACUCAGAUUUUUGCUUUUUUGAAAGAAAAGGAGAGACGAUUCAAAGUUACCUUUUGUGGUAAUCAGUAUUAUGCCACAAAUGCUGUCAAUUGAGCUUAACUUAUAUUGAACCUGGAAUAUUCCUUUAAUACAGAAUUAAUUUCAUAUGCAGUCUAUGUUUAUUUUGGCUAUUUUACAGCUCAACAAGUCAGAUUUUAGAGCCAAAACUAUGCAUAGUAUAUUUUACAUUUUAAGAUGAUGAAUGUUAUGAUCUUUAAAAAUAAUCACAUGCCUUUGUCUUAAAAUCACUCUCAUAAUAUCUGUUCCAGGGCUGGAAGAAAGAGAGAAUUCUAGGAGAGUAUCCUGAUGGCAAGAUUAUUCUUGUACUCCCUGACGACCCAAAGUAUGCACUAAAAAAGGUUGAGGAGAUCAGGGAAAUGGUGGACAAUGACUUGGGCUUCCAGCAAGUGGAGACC